rnacentral:ncRNA from 1 species
AUACUUUACUAUGAUUGCAAUGAACUCAGUGUAGAUCGGUUUUGUCACUGUGCUGAGAAUGCGUGAAUAUCGGCAAAUUAUUAUAUGGGAUACUUUAUAAUGAUUUGCUCCAAACUACCGUGAGGUAUAUUAGGAUAUUAGGAAAAUCCUUAAAGAUAAGCGUAUGUACUGAGAGCAAAUGUAGUUAAAAGCUGCUAUCUUGUCGUUGAUGUAAUAGAGAGUUACACUGUAAUGCUUAACCCUGAUGCCUGUAGACUGGUAAUCUAUAGGAGAUAAGUAGGGGAGUACCAAAAUAAGUCAAUUUGCCGUGAUGAUCUGGAAACGGAUUGUAUAAGACAAGUCAAGUGAUUGAGUAGCCCAAGGCAGUAGAAGAACAAGGUAUAUAAAGAGAACAUCAAAUUAUACAAGUAAGUUUGAGGUUGAUUAAUUCUGAAUGACGGGUGAAAGAUGUUCGUAACCAAUCGAACCGAUACAGAGACAGGUGUAUUCCUGUUGGUGAAAAAGUAUAUGGAUGACGGUUUAUAUGCUCAGAUUUCAUUAUAUUGUGGCUGAAUAUGAGUGCGUUUGUGGAGGCAAUCCGAAGGGAUUAUUGCUAUCAUAAUAAAGU